GAGGGUAUAGCUCAGUGGUAGAGUGUGUGCUUAGCAUGAAUGAGGUCCUGGGUUCAAUCCCUGAUAUCUCCA
rfam:Camelus ferus unplaced genomic scaffold scaffold504, whole genome shotgun sequence.